GCGUGCGGCGGGAGAGAGGCUGAGGCAGCGCGCGCGGGGGCUCGAGGCGCUGCGGGAGGCCUGCCGCCAGUACCCGCUGUUCUGCUGCAUCCUGCUGGGGCUCAGCGCGGCCACCCUCCUGCUGAACCGGUAUCUUCACAUUUUAAUGAUCUUCUGGUCAUUUGUUGCUGGCGUUGUCACAUUCUACUGCUCAUUAGGACCAGAUUCUCUCUUGCCAAAUAUUCUUUUUACAAUAAAAUAUAAACCCAAGCAAUUAGAACUGCAGGAGCUAUUUCCCCAAGGUCACAGCUGUGCUGUAUGUGGUAAUGUCAAAUGCAAAAGGCAUAGACCUGCAUUGCUUCUAGAAAACUACCAGCCAUGGUUGGAUCUACAAGUGUCUUCCAAGGUUGAUGCCUCUCUCUCAGAGGUGCUUGAACUGGUGCUGGAAAAUUUUGUUUAUCCAUGGUACAGGGAUGUAACUGAUGAUGAGUCCUUCGUUGAUGAGCUGAGAGUAACAUUGAGGUUUUUUGCAUCUGUAUUAAUUCGCAGAAUUCACAAGGUGGACAUUCCAUCUGUUAUAACAAAGAAAAUGCUAAAGGCAGCAAUGAAACACAUAGAAGUCAUAGUUAAAGCCAGGCAGAAAGUGAAAAAUUCAGAAUUUUUACAGCAAGCUGCUUUAGAAGAAUAUGGACCAGAACUCCAUGUGGCUUUGAGGAGUCGAAGAGAUGAACUUCACUAUUUAAGAAAACUUACUGAACUUCUUUUCCCUUAUAUUCUUCCCCCAAAGGCAACAGACUGCAGAUCCCUGGCAUUGCUUAUAAGAGAGAUCCUGUCUGGUUCUGUUUUCCUUCCCUCCAUGGACUUCUUAGCUGACCCGGAUACUGUCAACCAUUUGCUUCUCAAAUUCAUUGAUGAUAGCCCACCUGAAAAAGCAACUGAGCCAGCUGCUUCUUUGAUUCCAUUCCUGCAGAAAUUUGCGGACCCUCGCAAUAAAAAAACAUCUGUCCUGAAGCUGGAAUUGAGGGAGAUUAGAGAACAGCAAGACCUUUUGUUUCGCUUCAUGAACUUUCUGAAACAGGAAGGGGCAGUACAUGUGUUGCAGUUUUGUCUGACCGUAGAGGAAUUUAAUGACAGAAUUUUGCAACCAGAAUUAUCAGAUACUGAAAAAAUGUCUCUUCAUGAAGAGGUGCAGAAAAUCUACAAAACCUAUUGUUUGGAUGAAAGUAUUGACAAAAUUAGAUUUGAUCCUUUUAUCGUGGAAGAGAUUCAAAGAAUUGCUGAAGGUGAAUAUGUAGAUGUUGUGAAACUUCAAACUAUGCGAUGCCUUUUUGAAGCAUAUGAACAUGUUCUUUCCCUCUUAGAGAAUGUCUUUACCCCUAUGUUCUGUCACAGUGAUGAGUAUUUCAGGCAGCUCUUAAGAGGAGCUGAAUCCCCAACACGCAAUUCAAAGUUUAACAGAGGUAGCCUGAGUUUGGAUGACUUUCGGGCCACACAGAAAAGAGGAGAAUCAUUUGCAAUCAGCAGAUUAGGCAGCAAAAUUAGAGGAGUAUUCAAGAGCAACACAAUGGAAGGAGCUGUGCUACCUAACUAUGGUUUAACUGAAGGAGAGGAUGAUUUUAUUGAAGAAGGCAUUAUGGUAAUGGAAGAUGAUUCUCCUGUGGAGACUCUUAGCACUCCCAAUACACCUCGUAACCUUGCUGCAUGGAAAAUUUGCAUUCCAUAUGUGGACUUCUUUGAUGAUCCCUCCCUUGAAAGGAAAGAGAGAAAAGAGAGAAUUCCUGUGUUUUGUAUUGACGUGGAGAGAAACGAUAGAAGGGCAGUUGGACAUGAACCUGAACGCUGGUCUGUCUAUAGAAGAUACCUUGAAUUUUAUGUGCUUGAGUCAAAGUUAACAGAAUUUCAUGGUACCUUUCCUGAUGCUCAACUUCCAUCAAAAAGGAUCAUUGGUCCAAAGAACUAUGAAUUCUUAAAGACAAAGAGGGAAGAGUUUCAGGAGUACCUGCAGAAACUUCUGCAACAUCCAGAGCUGAGUAACAGCCAGCUUUUGGCUGACUUUCUGUCUCCCAAUGGUGGAGAGACGCAAUUUCUCGAUAAAAUGUUGCCUGAUGUAAAUCUUGGGAAAAUUAUAAAAUCUGUUCCAGGAAAGCUAAUGAAAGAGAAAGGUCAGCAUUUGGAGCCAUUCAUCAUGAAUUUCAUUAACUCCUGUGAAUCUCCCAAGCCUAAACCAAGUAGACCAGAGCUUACAAUUCUCAGUCCCACUUCUGAAAACAACAAGAAGCUUUUCAAUGAUCUGUUCAAGAACAAUGCAAACCGCUCUGAGAAUAUAGAGAGAAGACAAAAUCAGAACUACUUUAUAGAGAUGAUAACAGUAGAAGGAGUCUAUGACUACUUAAUGUAUGUUGGUAGAGUUGUUUUCCGUGUUCCUGACUGGCUGCACCACCUCUUGAUGGGGGGAAGAAUUAUCUUCAAAAACACAUUGGAGAUGUACACAGACUACUAUCUACAGUACAAAUUAGAACAGCUAUUUCAGGAGCACCGCUUGGUAUCACUGAUAACACUCCUGAGAGAUGCUGUGUUUUGUGAGAAUACUGAACCUCGCUCACUUCAAGAUAAACAGAAACGAGCAAAGCAGACCUUUGAAGAAAUGAUGAGAUACAUUCCAGAUUUGAUAGGCAAAUGCAUUGGAGAAGACGCCAAGUAUGAAGGCAUCAGACUUCUGUUUGAUGGAAUGCAGCAGCCAGUGCUUAACAAGCAGUUGACUUAUGUUCUGCUGGAUAUUGGGAUACAAGAACUGUUCCCAGAGCUCAAUAAGGUAUUGUGCACCAGUAUGGUCAUGCUCCAUCCAUGCACACGCAAUUGAUACUGACCUCAGUCAAUCCUGUAGGAUCAUCACAGGGACUUUGAAACUGACCCCCACACUGUCACUAUACUGCCUUUUGGGAUUGCACCACCAUCAGUGAGGUGGGAUGCCUUCAGUAAAAAGGACACUAAAACAGAUGCAUGGUCCAAGACACGCAUUGUAUGGACACAUUCCACCAUCCAAGAGGCUGAAGUCCAGAAAGAUACUUGCCUCUGAAUAUCCCGUACUUCAGAAUACCAUUGUGGAAGGAGAGAAAUGCCAAUGAUUCCAGAGAACCUUCAGAACAACUCCCUCCAGACACCUCGAACUGGUUGCUCUAAAUCACGUGAGACCUAGGGUGGUAAAGCCUUGUGACACUAUGACCAAGUGGAAUUUGAUAAAUGACCCCAAAUGUGAAUGUGGAGAGCCUAGUCCAGUGGCUUUCAACCUGCGGGCCACUUGUGGGCCAAUUAGCACACAGCUGCGGCCCAGCUGUCUGCUUAAAAAAAAAAAAUUCAAAAUUUGCUGCUCCAGUCUGGCGGAGGGUGGGGUUGGCUGAGGGGAGACAGCAUCUGGCAGUCCUACUGGAGCGCUCCUGCCAGCAGGGGGCAGGUGAGUGCUGCAGGGGGCAGGGUGUGGGCCACUGGCCUAAUUGACUAAAGAGCUAUGGCCCUAGCUCUGGAAGCUUGAUGCUCUUUUCCCCUCCCACUUGGUGGAAGCUGAGAGGGUCUAGGUCUCUUUCUUGGACUUCAGUGGCUGAAAAAGGGCAGAGAUGAGGCCCCCACUUGACAAAUUCAGCUACUCCCUCUUUGGCAUGUGUGAAGGGGACCUUUUCUCCUAGGAGGCAAAAGCAUUCUAGUGGAGAUAACAGGUCUGGGAUCAGGGUUGGGGGGAGGCAGCAGAAGAAAGACAACUGGUAUGAGAGGGGUGGAAAACAUGGCACAGGAUGAGGGAUAAGAUCUGGAGUCCCAAAGUACCAAGAAAACAGGGGAGAAUAAAAUAGGUGAUAGUCGCUUGAUUCUAGGUUGGGGAUUACAUUUUGAUUUCACCCCCAUUCCUCCAAUCUAUCUGUCUAAUUUCCAUUGAUUUGGUAGCUGAAAUUUUCAUAUAUAGUCUCCCUCCUAAAAAUGCCCUUCCUGCUACCCUUUUUGAAAGAGCCUUGAAGGGAAUCUCUUCUUUUUUCCCUCCAAUAAAUGAGGGGGAGGCGGGGAGCCCUGAAAUUACAAUCUGGUUUUUGCUUAGUUAUUAGUUAACUGUUUUGGUUUUUUUUGGCAAAAGUCUUGACUCAAGUGUCUGGUCUGGCCAGAGUUACUUUAAGACUUCUGAGAUUUAUGUUCAUUAUAAAAAUUAGAGAGUUACAACUAGUUACCUACAGAAUGGUCCCUGUUUAAUGUUGGCUUUCUUUUUGUCCAGUUGAGGAAUUGUAUUAAAACUAAAAAUAUAUUCAGAUUCUGAGCAAGAACAUACAAAAUGAGAGCUCCUCCCAUCAAUAUUUAAAGAGAGGCUGAACCUAGCUUUUGGAGCAUUGUUGUUACAGAACACUCACUGUGACGGGAUCCCUGCAGUGCAGCCUGCGACUGUGGGACCACUGUGCCCCCUUAACUCUCCAGCUGGGGCAGUCUCUCACAAUGCUUUGCUAGUGACAAGCAGCAAACCCCUCCAGGAGCUGUGAUCACUCAACACAACUGCGUGUGGAGCCCCACAGCCAGCUAGAUUGUAUGAAUGCUCCCAGAGCCACUCAUGAAUCACACAGAUAAAGUUUCAGAGGAACAGCC